rfam:Dipodomys ordii contig_50945, whole genome shotgun sequence.
GGGAAGGUGGCUCAGUGGUAGAGCGCUUGCCUUGCAUGCCGGAGGCCCUGGGUUCCAUUCCUAAUCACCACA